rnacentral:pre_miRNA from 1 species
GGUGCUUCCUCUAAUGAAGAAGCUUUUGGCUCGGGUUAUAUUUGAACUCAACAGUGUAUAAGACGAGCAAAAAGCUUGUUGGUUGGAGGAGAUUUC